rnacentral:ncRNA from 1 species
UUUUUACAUUUAGAGUAGAGAUUAACUCUCGCCAACCUGCUUUUAUCGGUAAGGUGGCAAAUUAAUGUGGCUUUAUGCAAAUAUAAAUUUGCAAAGCAACGUCAAAGGGUAAAUCU